CCCUUUCGGGGGUACACGAGCGGCGAACGGGUGAGUAACACGUGGGUGACCUGCCCUCCACUCUGGGAUAAGCCCGGGAAACUGGGUCUAAUACCGGAUAGGACCACUGAUCGCAUGGUUGGUGGUGGAAAGUUUUUUCGGUGGGGGAUGGGCCCGCGGCCUAUCAGCUUGUUGGUGGGGUGAUGGCCUUACCAAGGGCGGUGACGGGUUAGCCGGCCUUGAGAGGGGGACCCGGCCCCCAUUGGGACUGAGACACGGGCCCAGACUUCCUACGGGAAGGCAGCAGUGGGGAAUAUUGCGCAAUGGGCGGAAGCCUGACGCAGCGACGCCGCGUGGGGGAUGACGGCCUUCGGGUUGUAAACCUCUUUCGCCAGGGACGAAGAGCAAUUGACGGUACCUGGAGAAGAAGCACCGGCCAACUACGUGCCAGCAGCCGCGGUAACACGUAGGGUGCGAGCGUUGUCCGGAAUUAUUGGGCGUAAAGAGCUCGUAGGCGGUGUGUCGCGUCGGCCGUGAAAACUUGGGGCUUAACUCUGAGCGUGCGGUCGAUACGGGCAUCACUUGAGUUCGGCAGGGGAGACUGGAAUUCCUGGUGUAGCGGUGAAAUGCGCAGAUAUCAGGAGGAACACCGGUGGCGAAGGCGGGUCUCUGGGCCGAUACUGACGCUGAGGAGCGAAAGCGUGGGGAGCGAACAGGAUUAGAUACCCUGGUAGUCCACGCCGUAAACGUUGGGCGCUAGGUGUGGGGACCAUUCCACGGUUUCUGUGCCGCAGCUAACGCAUUAAGCGCCCCGCCUGGGGAGUACGGCCGCAAGGCUAAAACUCAAAGGAAUUGACGGGGGCCCGCACAAGCGGCGGAGCAUGUGGAUUAAUUCGAUGCAACGCGAAGAACCUUACCUGGGUUUGACAUGCACCAGACAUCCCUAGAGAUAGGGCUUCCCUUGUGGUUGGUGUGCAGGUGGUGCAUGGCUGUCGUCAGCUCGUGUCGUGAAGAUGUUGGGUUUAAUUCCCGCAACGAAGCGCAACCCUUGUUCCAUGUUUGCCAGCACGUAAUGGUGGGGAACUCAUGGGAAGACUGCCGGGGUUCAACUCCGGAGGAAGGUGGGGAAUAGACGUCAAGUCAUCAUGCCCCUUAUGUCCAGGGCUUCACACAUGCUACAAUGGCUCAUACAGAGGGCUGCGAGACCGUGAGGUGGAGCGAAUCCCUUAAAGUGAGUCUCAGUUCGGAUCGGGGUCUGCAACUCGACCCCGUGAAGUUGGAGUCGCUAGUAAUCGCAGAUCAGCAACGCUGCGGUGAAUACGUUCCCGGGCCUUGUACACACCGCCCGUCACGUCACGAAAGUUGGUAACACCCGAAGCCGGCGGCCCAACCCUUGUGG
rnacentral:rRNA from 1 species